rnacentral:tRNA from 1 species
AAGGCCUUAGCUUAAUUAAAGCGUCUGAGUUGCAAUUGGAAGAUGUGCUGAAGUUGUACAGGUCUUAG